GGCGAUUUAGCUCAGUUGGUUAGAGCGUGUGCUUAACACUAGGACUGGUUCUCCAGUCAAGCGUUGCGCACAAGGUCGGCGGUUCGACCCCGUCAAACGUCA
rnacentral:tRNA from 1 species